AUUAAUUGAUCUUAAGCGCAUAGAAGAACAAAGUUUCUCAAAGUCAAUUACAGUUGACGGCAAAAUAUGAACUAGUAAUUAAAAUUUCACCAAGUUUUAUCUUACGCCUGACUUAAAAAAACACGAAAUGAACAUUAGAAAGACAUACGUAGACGAAUCCAUAAGGAUCCGUCAUAAACUCUUUGUAAACAAUGUCGGAUUUAACUGUCAUUAUUGCCGAAAUUUAUGGCGAAAGUUGUCACUGUUGGAGAUGCUAUCCACCGGAGAUCCUCGCCUGGAUGUUGCUGCUGUUGGUUCCUCGACGAGCUACUGCUCGAAAAAAUGGAGAACAGAGGGGGAUGGAGCAGCGUUGGCUGACAUGCUCCUCGCUGGCGCUGCUGCUCCUUGCCGGCGUUGCUGUUACACCUGUUGUUGACUCUGUGCAGUUGUUGUUCGCCUGACAACUCGAAGGUGGAGCUUCUCACUUCCAUAGAGAAGUGAGGAGGGAUAUAGGAAGGAAGAAGGGAGGACGGAGGAAAUGGAGGAGAGGGGAAAUGAGAAACGGGCGUCGCAAACCCUUGCCAGUCGUUGCCUAUUGCAUCUCCCCGGGGCGAGUAAAGAUGAGAGAGUGGAGGCAGAUCUGGUAA
rnacentral:misc_RNA from 1 species